GUCAGUUUCCCAAUGGAAAACUAGGGUCGGCCAGUCCAAAAAUACAUGAUUUCUGUGUGAACAUCAAAUGCUAAGAUUUAUAAAAAAAACGUAAUCUAUCUUGCAAACAAUGCGUUCAUUUCAAGAGUUCAUUAAAUUAAAGAAAAUAAUUUUUUUUUUUUGGUGAUACAGAAAAUAAAUACAUUACUGGAUCAGUA